CCUUGAAAACUGUCACCUGCAACAUCAGGGAUCCUGUUCACUGUUGGCACUUGAGAGUACUAACAAAUUAUGGACUCCACUUUACAAUGCUUGUUUCUAGGAGCUACAGAACCAGGGCUCACAGAUUUCAAGACAACUGAAAAAUGUUCGUGAAUGUACUCCUACAACACCAGUUAGAUGAGCACCAAGAGAAAGGGCUCCUCUGUUUUCCAGCAUUGUAGUUUGUAUAUACACGAGGCUGUUUCAUAUGUUCAGGUUGGACAGAAGUGCCAUGCAAAAUCAGUUUCCAGUUCACAAUCCUCCCUUCAUUUUGGAUUCUCCUGGACUAAAAGACAGACAUUAGCAUCAUAUUAGUACUGGAUGAAGGAAGAUGAAAGAAAAGAUAGCUGAUGUUAACAAAGCCCCAAGCCAGUUAAAGAGGUAUGCUUUUCCACACUUUAGGAUCAGCUAAAUCCACCAGUGCCUUGGCAUUAAGUAAUCCAAAUCCAAAUCGGCUAUUCACCAUCAACCCUG